AGAACGCGGCGGUCACGGGAAUAUCCGUCGCGCCGAGGACGCUGGUUAGUUUCGCUCCGGGUUCCAGCUGCGUCGGGCGUGCGUGCAGCUCGCUGAGACUAUGGCGUCCGGGCCUCACCCGACAGCGACCGCUGCCGCCGCAGCCUCAUCGGCCGCCCCGAGCGCGGGCGGCUCCAGCUCCGGGACGACGAACACGACUACGACUACGUCGGGAGGGAUCCUGAUCGGAGACCGCCUCUACUCGGAAGUUUCGCUCACCAUCGACCACUCGCUGAUUCCGGAGGAGCGGCUCUCUCCCACCCCGUCCAUGCAGGAUGGGCUCGACCUGUCUAGCGAGACGGACUUGCGCAUCUUGGGCUGCGAGCUCAUCCAAGCCGCUGGCAUUCUCCUCCGGCUGCCGCAGGUGGCGAUGGCAACGGGGCAGGUGUUGUUCCAUCGGUUUUUCUACUCCAAGUCUUUCGUCAAACACAGUUUCGAGAUUGUUGCUAUGGCUUGUAUUAAUCUUGCAUCAAAAAUCGAAGAAGCACCUAGAAGAAUAAGAGAUGUGAUUAAUGUAUUUCACCACCUACGCCAGUUAAGAGGAAAAAGGACUCCAAGCCCCCUGAUCCUUGAUCAGAACUACAUUAACACCAAAAAUCAAGUUAUCAAGGCAGAGAGGAGGGUGCUAAAGGAGUUGGGAUUUUGUGUUCAUGUCAAGCAUCCCCAUAAGAUCAUUGUUAUGUAUUUACAAGUCUUAGAAUGUGAACGUAAUCAAACCCUGGUUCAAACUGCCUGGAAUUAUAUGAAUGACAGUCUUCGAACCAAUGUAUUUGUUCGAUUUCAACCAGAGACUAUAGCAUGUGCUUGCAUCUACCUUGCGGCUAGAGCUCUUCAGAUUCCAUUGCCAACUCGUCCCCAUUGGUUUCUUCUUUUUGGUACCACAGAAGAGGAGAUCCAGGAUAUCUGCGUAGAAACCCUCAGGCUUUAUACCAGGAAAAAGCCAAACUAUGAACUGCUGGAAAAAGAAGUAGAGAAAAGAAAAGUAGCCUUACAAGAAGCCAAAUUAAAAGCAAAGGGAUUGAAUCCUGAUGGAACUCCGGCACUUUCAACCCUUGGUGGAUUUUCUCCAGCCUCUAAACCAUCAUCACCAAGAGAAGUAAAGGCUGAAGAGAAGUCACCAGUCUCUGUUAAUGUGAAGAUGGUCAAAAAAGAACCUGAGGACAGACAGCAGGCUUCCAAAAGCCCUUAUAAUGGGGUGAGAAAAGAAAGCAAGAGAAGUAGAAAUAGCAGAAGUGCUAGUCGAUCAAGGUCAAGAACACGAUCACAUUCUAGAUCGCAUACUCCAAGAAGACAACUUGGCUCCAAAUGAUUUGUUGCUGUUUCAAAAAAUCAAAUACACCCACAAAGAGAUGAAGACUUAAUGCCACUAUGGAUUUAAAAACAAAACAAAACAGCUCCUGAAGAGGGUUCCAAGGAUUUCCAAAUGUUCACCAAUGGCGGCGGGCAGUGGGACAGGAGAAAGAAAGUCUCACAAAGCAACUACAUUGAAGGAGACAAGAUUCGUUUGGAUAUAAAAACAUUGGUUUUCUAGGUUCUUGUAAAGAGGUUUACAACCUUAUGCUGCUCUACAUGAACUUUUAAAAAUAUUUUUGAAUAAUUCCAAACUUUUAUUAUGGAAAAUAUCAAACAGAAGUAGUAGAGUACCCAUUUCUCAACUCCAAAAACUAAUCAAAUCGUGGUCAGCCAGCCUUGUUUAUACCUCACCAAUUCACCACUACACCUCCCACUCUUAUUUGGAAGAGAAUCUCAGAUAAGUGACUUCAUCCCCAAAUAAUUCAAUCCAAGAGAAAGGCACAGCCCCAUUUAUUUCCACCAGUCAGAAAAGCUGACCCUGAUGUCAUCUCCUCAGUGGGCUCCUUUUCCUCAAACACUGGUGCCUCUUACUGCCCACGUCUUUCCUUGAGCAACGAAAACUCAUCACUGUAGGCUGGAAAAGGAAGGCUUUCAGAAGUUAAAAGAAACACAGUUUACCAACUAACUCAACCCCCUCUGAAACAGAAUAAAGAACCUUUCCUCUUAUCUGGGUUCAGAACUGGCAAGCAGCUUCGGUGUGGGCACUUCAUAAAUAACCUUGCUGAUGCAAAUGUCGAAGAUGCAAAGAAACCAUUUAGUCAUUUCCAGACCCCUUCUGAAAUGCCAGUGAUGGAAGCAGGAUCUUGACUAUCCUUUGCAGAUCUUAAACAAGAAAAGCCCAGUUCACCUGGGCACAUGGAACGAAACAGAACAAGAACAGUGGAUUAAUCGAUCUAUCCCGGAGUCUUGGGUGUACUUACAGGGAGCAGAGCGAACUGAAACACUGCCCAGACAUCUGUGACAGACGGACACAGUCACGACUUGGCCUUCCUGUGCGGUGGAGGAAGGGGACGGGAAACGGAGAAGGCCAGCGAUGAGUGCAGGCACACAUAUGCAUAACUAAGUUAUGCGAUCACUCAAUUGGUAAAUCUCAUCAACAGGAAGAUCUGAUGCACCCGCCUCACAUGCUAAGGGACUCCCUUCAGGCCCAAAGCAGAAAAGUAUCCAGAGGUGUCUUGGGUCAGGUAAACUACAGUCUCAAGCGUGCAACCUUUUCUGGGGUUUACACCAUGCAGUGAAUCGAAACUCUUCUAAUUAGCUUUGUGAUCUUGGCCAAA